UACAGAGGGUGCGAGCGUUGUUCGGAAUUACUGGGCGUAAAGCGCGCGCAGGCGGCUUUCUAAGUCUCGUGGUCAAAUGCCGGGGCUCAACCCCGAGCGUGCCAGGGAUACUGGGAGGCUGGAGACAGGUAGAGGCAAGCGGAAUUCCGGGUGUAGCUGUGGAAUGCGUAGAGAUCCGGAAGAACACCGGAGGCGAAGGCGGCUUGCUGGACCUGGUCUGACGCUGAGGCGCGAAAGCCAGGGGAGCGAACGGG
rnacentral:rRNA from 1 species